rnacentral:rRNA from 1 species
AAGUCGAGGGGUAACAUGGGUAGCAAUACCUGAUGACGACCGGCAAACGGGUGCGGAACACGUACGCAACCUUCCCAUAACUGGUGAAUAGCCUUCCGAAAGGGAGAUUAAUACACCGUAACAUAAUGAAGAGGCAUCUCUUUAUUAUUAUAGGCUUCGGCCGGUUUUGGAUGGGCGUGCGCCUGAUUAGGUAGUUGGCGGGGUAACGGCCCACCAAGCCUGCGAUCAGUAACUGGUGUGAGAGCACGACCAGUCACACGGGCACUGAGACACGGGCCCGACUCCUACGGGAGGCAGCAGUAAGGAAUAUUGGUCAAUGGACGAAAGUCUGAACCAGCCAUGCCGCGUGAAGGAUGAAGGCCCUCUGGGUUGUAAACUUCUUUUAUCUGGGACGAAAAAAGCUCAUUCUUGAGCACUUGACGGUACCAGAGGAAUAAGCACCGGCUAACUCCGUGCCAGCAGCCGCGGUAAUACGGAGGGUGCAAGCGUUAUCCGGAUUUACUGGGUUUAAAGGGUGCGUAGGUGGGCAGGUAAGUCAGUGGUGAAAUCUCCGGGCUUAACCCGGAAACUGCCAUUGAUACUAUCUGUCUUGAAUAUCCUGGAGGUGAGCGGAAUAUGUCAUGUAGCGGUGAAAUGCUUAGAUAUGACAUAGAACACCAAUUGCGAAGGCAGCUCACUACGGGAUCAUUGACACUGAGGCACGAAAGCGUGGGGAUCAAACAGGAUUAGAUACCCUGGUAGUCCACGCCCUAAACGAUGGAUACUCGACAUCAGCGAUACACUGUUGGUGUCUGAGCGAAAGCAUUAAG